rnacentral:misc_RNA from 1 species
GAGAAAGAUACAAGCCUGGCUAUCUAGGGUCGGAGAAAUUUAAGAAAAAUAAAGAAAUAUAAAUCCAAAACGAUGCAGUUUCUUCAGUGGAAAGUAGUGUCUCCACCUUCACUUUCUUCUUCUUCUUCUACUUUAAUAGUAUUGGUGUUUCUUAUGGCAAAUAUUCUUGUAUGGACUGCAACAGCUUUGGUAAAGCUACCACCUAAUGUAACAGUUCCGGCAAUUUUGGUGUUCGGGGAUUCCAUAGUUGACGCAGGUAAUAACAACAAUAUCAAAACUCUAAUCAAGUGCAAUUUCCCUCCAUAUGGGAUAGAUUUCAAGGGAGGAAUUCCGACAGGAAGGUUCUGCGAUGGAAAGGUUCCCUCAGACAUCCUAGCGGAAGAGCUGGGAAUCAAGGACAUUUUGCCUGCCUAUUUGGACCCAACAGUGACGCUUCCAGAACUCGUAACAGGAGUAACCUUUGCUUCAGGUGCCACAGGAUAUGAUCCCUUGACACCAAUAUUAGCUGUAAAUAAUCCUCCCACUCUCCAUUUAUUCAUUUGACUUAAACUCCAGAUCUCAUGUCCUUGGAGAUAACUUCAGUAUCCAUUACUCUCCAUUUAUUUUUUUAUUAUUAAUAAUUUUAAUUUUGAUCACCAUUUAAUUGCCUGUUGUGAAACUUGAUCGCAGUCAGUGAUAUCCUUAGACGAUCAAUUAAAACUCUUCAAAGAGUACAUAGAGAAGCUAAAAGGAUUUGUUGGAGAAGAAAAAACAAACUUCAUCUUAGCAAAUAGCCUGUAUCUACUGGUAGCAGGCAGUGAUGAUAUAGCCAACACCUAUUUUGUUCUACGUGCUAGGAAAUUACAGUAUGAUGUUCCUGCAUACACCGAUCUAAUGGCAAAUUCUGCUUCUAGUUUUGUCCAGGAUUUAUAUAACCUGGGAGCAAGGAGGAUAGCAGUUUUCAGUGCACCACCGAUUGGAUGCGUGCCAUCCCAGAGAACUUUGGCAGGGGGAUCUCUAAGAGAUUGCGCAGAAAACUACAACCAAGCAGCAACCUUAUUCAACUCCAAAUUGUCUAAGAAGAUAGAUUCUUUUAAUACUACGCUCCCUAACAACAAGAUUGUCUACGUAGAUGUCUACAAUCCUCUGUUCAAUCUCAUCCAAAACCCUAAUAAAUAUGGUUUUCAAGUUGCAAAUAGAGGAUGCUGUGGAACGGGAGAUUUAGAGGUUGCUAUUUUAUGUAAUAAAUUAACUGCAGUCAUUUGUGCUAAUGUUUCUGAUUAUGUAUUUUGGGAUAGUUAUCAUCCCACAGAAAGAGCUUAUAGAGUACUCAUCUCACAACUCCUCACUAAGUAUGUGGAAAAAUUCUUCUGAUUCCAUAUUAGCUUGCAGAGUUGCAGUGUUCCUCUUAUUUUAGUUUCUUAGUCAUUUGUUCAUAGUUCGAAAUUUUCAAAAGCCAUUUUGAUUUGGGAAUGGCAUAUCAGCUGUUGAAUUUACAAUGUUUGUCAAAUUCAAUUACUAAAAUCUCUGUAACGUGCCAACAUAAUCAUUUUAUUGAAUUCUCGAAGUGAUUGAUUUCAAGAAUAUGUUAACAAGAAAUUACUUAUGCUAUAGCGGACAUUUCAAUAGGAUAUUAAGUGAAAACACAGUCCAUUUAUGUGGAAUAUCAUGAGGCUAAGAUUGAUGAGCUGCCUCAGGAGAAAUUCUUCCCAUACUCUUGGAGAAUUUGAGAAACCAAGAUCCUGUAUGCUCUUUCAGUAGGAUGGGCAGAGUCCCAAAACAAAUACUUAGAAGUGUCAGGACAUGUAAAUGGAUUCAAUUGGUUACAGAACAAUGCUGUUACUUCUAUUUCUCCAGUGCCACAACACCCACUAGUCGUCUCUUCAAAUCCUGAUCCUUGAGGAUUUUGGAUAAGUGCAAGCAGAGGAUUAUAGACAUCAAGAUAGAAUAUGGUGGCAUUGGCAAGGCUGCUAUUAAGGACACUCAACUCAGAGGAUAGCUUGUAAUUGAACAUAUUUGCUGCCUGGUUCGAAUCCUCUCCACAUGCUCUAUAUAACCCUCCUUCCACUGUUCGAAAAAAAGGCACGCAUCCAAUAGGUAUUGUACCCAGAAAUGCAAUUCUUCGUGGACCCAACCCAUACAAAUCCUUUCCAAAUCAUGUAUUAUAAGAUGUUAAAAGCAUCAAGACGUAUAGGAAAUCAUCCAUGGUCACAUGUACAGGGAAAACAUAAUGCAAAUAAAAGAACAUUCACCUUGACGAAUUUAGUAGCCCUGCUAACCAAUAAAGAAGUGUAUGAAGAAACAUCAUAUUGCAAUGAUCUGAGAUGGAGAAUGAAGUAGGUGAUUGCAAGAUCAUUAUUUCCAGAUGAUAUAACAAAAAGGCUGUUGAAUAUGAUGGCUUCAGCUUUCUCUUCUCCAACGACUCGCUUAAGCUUUGAUGUGUACUCUUCGAAGAGGUGGAAUUGAUCUGUUAUUGAUAGGAUUGACUGUAUACCAGCUGUUAAAGGGUCAAGACCUGAGCCAGCUGAAGCAAAGCUUACGCCUGUUGGAAGAUCAUUGUCUUGCAGAUUUGGAUCAAGGUAUGCUGGCAAAAGAUCUUUAACUCCCACACCUGAUGCAACUAAGUCAGAGAAAAUUUUUCCAUCAGAACAUCUUCCUGUAGCUAUUCCUCCAGGAAAAUUCCUUCCAUAUGGAGGAACGUUGCACUUGGUAAGGGUUUUGAGAUUGUUAUUAUUGCCAGUGUCAAGAAUUGAAUCUCCAAAUGCGAUAACUGCUGGAAUUGUUCCAUUACUAGCCUCCGCAAUACAAAAUAAAAGUAAAAUAGAAAGUGGGAGCAAAAUGGUUGAAGCAGGAUAAUGGAUUUUCACAUAGAAAAACUCCAUUUUUCCAAGUGAAGUCUGUGGUGCAAGCAUAUGCACUUAUAUACAAGUAAAAUGGAUAGAAAGCUUCCAAGAUCCAAUAAUAUACGUUCUGGAGGUGUUCGGUUUUAAUUAUAAAUCUGGUUCUACCAAAGAAUUUGAAUUGGAACCAAUGGUUCUGAUUCCCG